rfam:Raoultella ornithinolytica strain S12, complete genome.
GGUUUGCACUUAUCGGGAAGGGUGAGAACCUUCGACCAAGGUUCGACUCGAGCGCAAGCGAGAUAACGUUGCCGCAGGCAACGGCCCGAAGGGUGAGGAGCGAAGCGACGAAUAAUCCUUCCCCCACCACCA